AAACUCAAAUGAAUUGACGGGGGCCCGCACAAGCGGUGGAGCAUGUGGUUUAAUUCGAUGCAACGCGAAGAACCUUACCUACUCUUGACAUCCAGAGAACUUNNNAGAGAUGCUUUGGUGCCUUCGGGAACUCUGAGACAGGUGCUGCAUGGCUGUCGUCAGCUCGUGUUGUGAAAUGUUGGGUUAAGUCCCGCAACGAGCGCAACCCUUAUCCUUUGUUGCCAGCGGUUCGGCCGGGAACUCAAAGGAGACUGCCAGUGAUAAACUGGAGGAAGGUGGGGAUGACGUCAAGUCAUCAUGGCCCUUACGAGUAGGGCUACACACGUGCUACAAUGGCGCAUACAAAGAGAAGCGACCUCGCGAGAGCAAGCGGACCUCAUAAAGUGCGUCGUAGUCCGGAUUGGAGUCUGCAACUCGACUCCAUGAAGUCGGAAUCGCUAGUAAUCGUAGAUCAGAAUGCUACGGUGAAUACGUUCCCGGGCCUUGUACACACCGCCCGUCACACCAUGGGAGUGGGUUGCAAAAGAAGUAGGUAGCUUAACCUUCGGGAGGGCGCUUACCACUU
rnacentral:rRNA from 1 species